rnacentral:rRNA from 1 species
UCGGGAAUUUUGGGCAAUGGGGGAAACCCUGACCCAGCAACGCCACGUGAAGGAUGAAGUAUUUCGGUAUGUAAACUUCGAAAGAAUAGGAAGAAUAAAUGACGGUACUAUUUAUAAGGUCCGGCUAACUACGUGCCAGCAGCCGCGGUAAUACGUAGGGACCAAGCGUUGUUCGGAUUUACUGGGCGUAAAGGGCGCGUAGGCGGCAUGACAAGUCACUUGUGAAAUCUCUGGGCUUAACCCAGAACGGCCAAGUGAUACUGUCGCGCUAGAGUGCAGAAGGGGCAAUCGGAAUUCUUGGUGUAGCGGUGAAAUGCGUAGAUAUCAAGAGGAACACCUGAGGUGAAGACGGGUUGCUGGGCUGACACUGACGCUGAGGCGCGAAAGCCAGGGGAGCAAACGGGAUUAGAUACCCACGUAGUCCCUGAGCGGGCUGGCAAGGCGCAU